rnacentral:rRNA from 1 species
GAUUGAACGCUGGCGGCGUGCCUAACACAUGCAAGUCGAGCGGUAACAGGUGUAGCAAUACAUGCUGACGAGCGGCGAACGGGUGAGUAAUGCUUCGGAAUCUACCCAAUGGUGGGGAAUAACCAGCCGAAAGGUUGGCUAAUACCGCAUACGUCCCACGGGAGAAAGCAGGGGAUCGCAAGACCUUGCGCCAAUGGAUGAGCCGAAGUCGGAUUAGCUAGUUGGAGGGUAACGGCCUACCAAGGCGACGAUCCGUAGCUGGUCUGAGAGGACGACCAGCCACACUGGGACUGAGACACGGCCCAGACUCCUACGGGAGGCAGCAGUGGGGAAUAUUGGACAAUGGGGGAAACCUGAUCCAGCGACGCCGCGUGUGUGAAGAAGGCC